rnacentral:rRNA from 1 species
UUCCCAGACUCCUACGGGAGGCAGCAGUGAGGAAUAUUGGUCAAUGGACGAGAGUCUGAACCAGCCAAGUAGCGUGAAGGAUGACUGCCCUAUGGGUUGUAAACUUCUUUUAUAUGGGAAUAAAAUGCUCCACGUGUGGGAUUUUGUAUGUACCAUAUGAAUAAGGAUCGGCUAACUCCGUGCCAGCAGCCGCGGUAAUACGGAGGAUCCGAGCGUUAUCCGGAUUUAUUGGGUUUAAAGGGUGCGUAGGCGGGCUGUUAAGUCAGCGGUCAAAUGUCGGGGCUCAACCCCGGCCUGCCGUUGAAACUGGCGGCCCCGAGUGGGCGAGAAGUAUGCGGAAUGCGUGGUGUAGCGGUGAAAUGCAUAGAUAUCACGCAGAACUCCGAUUGCGAAGGCAGCAUACCGGCGCCCUACUGACGCUGAGGCACGAAAGCGUGGGUAUCGAACAGGAUUAGAUACCCGAGUAUCA